rnacentral:lncRNA from 1 species
UUGUUUGUCUUCUAUUUUAAUUAUAUAGUAGAUAGAUGACCAAGGAAACCAACAUACUGAUCGGGUCCUCCACAUUUUCUAGUGGGCCUGAAAAGAUUAAUUAUUGUCAUUGUUUUUUGGUUUAAUAUCCUUCGGCAAGCUUUAGUGCUUGUACUCGUCACUGGUGGUCUACGGAUCUGGAUAUAACUUUUUUUUCCCGGCCUUCAGUGUAUUGCCAUGAUUGAGGAAAAAAUAUUGCACACGACAAAAUAAAAUAGAACAUCCAAAAUUGGUGAUCAAUAUAUUGCACACGAAGAUUUUAUUAUUGGAUCCUAACAUUUUCCAUUCAGUGCAACUCUAGUAGCAGAUGAUGCAGUCACAAUACUUGUGAUGGUCGACAACCCUACACUCAGCUCUCUUGACGUCAGGUCCCCAAAUUUUUUGGCAGGCCGUCUGGCAAGUUGAGCCUGUGCACUUAGGACUUGAAAGAAUAGUUCGCAUCUCGCAAUGAUCUGUAGACAAGAAUGCACAUCAUUAAAAGAAGACCAAACUGAGAAAAUUACAAAGAAAUUCGUGCAAUUUCACUGCCAAUAUUAUUAUUCUAAUCCUGUUUACAGGAGAAAGUAAACAUACAUGGAUAGGGAGAUUGAUUCCUUACCAUCAAUGGAGUUUCCUAGCUGCACAAGCACCAUAAGGCAAACAAGAAUAACUUUCCCCUCCAUAAGCGCAGACUAAAUUUUCCUAUUCCCGGCGUCC